rnacentral:rRNA from 1 species
GGGCCUUUUUUUCCGGUUGGGGGUAAGCCUCCAACCAAGCAUUAAUGUUGGAAGGAAUCAUUGCCCGGAAUGGCCCCGUCCAAAUCUUCCGGAGCACCAGGGGGAAUUGCCAAAUGGGGGACCCUGAGCAGCACCCCGGUGAGGAUGCCCAUUCGGGGGUAAACUCCUUUUAAAGGGAAGAUAAUGCGGGUCCCAUAGAAUAAGCCCCCGGCUAACUCCGGGCCAGCAGCCGCGGUAAUACGGAGGGCGCAAGCGUUACUCGGAAUCCCUGGGCGGUAAGGCGCAUGCAGGGGGCUUUGUAAGUGGAAGUGGAAUCCACUGGCUUAACCAGUGAACUGCUUCCAAAACUACUUAGCUAGAGUCUGGGAGGGGAAGAUGGAAUUAGUAGUGUAGGGGUAAAUCCGUAGAGAUUACUAGGAAUACCAAAAGCGAAGGCGAUCUUCUGGAACAGUACUGACGCUGAGAUGCGAAAGCGUGGGGAGCAAACAGGAUUAGAUACCCUGGUAGUCCACGCAGUAAACGAUGAAUGUUAGUCGUCGGUAUGCAAGUCAUAUCGGUGAUGCAGUUAACACAUUAAACAUUCCGCCUGGGGAGUACGGUCGCAAGAUUAAAACUCAAAGGAAUAGACGGGGACCCGCACAAGUGGUGGAGCAUGUGGUUUAAUUCGAAGAUACGCGAAGAACCUUACCUAGCCUUGACAUUGAAAGAAUACUAUAGAGAUAUGGUAGUGCCCUUUUGGGAGCUUGAAAACAGGUGCUGCACGGCUGUCGUCAGCUCGUGUCGUGAGAUGUUGGGUUAAGUCCCGCAACGAGCGCAACCCUCGUCACUAGUUACUAACGGUUCGGCCGAGGACUCUAGUGAGACUGCCUUCGUAAGGAGGAGGAAGGUGAGGACGACGUCAAGUCAUCAUGGCCCUUACGGCUAGGGCUACACACGUGCUACAAUGGUUAGGACAAUGAGAAGCGAUACCGCGAGGUGGAGCAAAUCUAUAAACCUAAUCUCAGUUCGGAUAGGACUCUGCAACUCGAGUCCUUGAAGCUGGAAUCACUAGUAAUCGUAGAUCAGCAAUGCUACGGUGAAUACGUUCCCGGGUCUUGUACUCACCGCCCGUCACACCAUGGGAGUUGAUUUCACCCGAAGCGGGGAAGCUAAACUGGCUACCCUCCACGGUGGAAUUAGCGACUGGGGUGAAGUCGUAACAAGGUUUA